rnacentral:tRNA from 1 species
GGUUGUGUAGUGUAGUGGUUAUCACUCCGGAUUUUGAUGCAUGCAUUGAGCCUUCCGGCGACCUGGGUUCGAGCCCCAGCACGACCU